AGGAUGAACGCUGGCGGUCUGCUUAACACAUGCAAGUCGAACGGAGUAGAAAUACUUAGUGGCGGACGGGUGAGUAACGCGUGAGAAUCUACCUUCAGGACGGAGACAACAGUUGGAAACGACUGCUAACCCCCGAUGUACUGAAAAGGCAAAUAUUUAUAGCCUGAAGAAGAGCUCGCGUCCGAUUAGCUAGUUGGAGAGGUAAAAGCUCACCAAGGCGACGAUCGGUAGCUGGUCUGAGAGGACGAUCAGCCACACUGGGACUGAGACACGGCCCAGACUCCUACGGGAGGCAGCAGUGGGAAUAUUGCGCAAUGGGCGAAAGCCUGACGCAGCGACGCCGCGUGAGGGAUGAAGGCCUUCGGGUUGUAAACCUCUUUCAGCAGGGAAGAAGCGAAAGUGACGGUACCUGCAGAAGAAGCACCGGCCAACUACGUGCCAGCAGCCGC
rnacentral:rRNA from 1 species